GACGAACGCUGGCGGCGUGCUUAACACAUGCAAGUCGAGCGGUAAGGCCUCCUUCGGGGGGUACACGAGCGGCGAACGGGUGAGUAACACGUGAGUAAUCUGCCCUUCACUCUGGGAUAAGCACCGGAAACGGUGUCUAAUACCGGAUAUGACCAUCCUUCGCAUGAGGUGGUGGUGGAAAGUUUUUUCGGUGGGGGAUGUGCUCGCGGCCUAUCAGCUUGAUGGUGGGGUAAUGGCCUACCAUGGCGUCGACGGGUAGCCGGCCUGAGAGGGUGACCGGUCACACUGGGACUGAGACACGGCCCAGACGCCUACGGGAGGCAGCAGUGGGGAAUAUUGGACAAUGGGCGGAAGCCUGAUCCAGCAACGCCGCGUGAGGGAUGACGGCCUUCGGGUUGUAAACCUCUUUCAUCACCGACGAAGCCGUGAGGUGACGGUAGGUGGAGAAGAAGCACCGGCCAACUACGUGCCAGCAGCCGCCGUAAUAC
rnacentral:rRNA from 1 species